rnacentral:lncRNA from 1 species
AAGUGUAAUCCUUUUUAUUUAACUUGUUGGACUUGAUAAAACUCUAAGAAUUCUUGUGUUGAUGUUCAUGAGGGAUAAUUGUCUUCUUUUCUUGCAAUGUCUGAUUUGGGGAUCAAAGCAAUGCUGGCCUCAGAGACAGAACUGAGUAUUCUUUCCUCUUAUAUUUCUUGUGAGAGGUUGUGCAGAAUUAGUAUUAUUCCCUUAAAUACGUGGCAACAUUUACCACUAAAGCUACCUAUGUCUACCGUUUUCUUUGUGAUAACACAUCUUUCAUAGAGCUAUGUAGGUUUUCCACUUCUUCCUAAGUAAACUAAUUUGUAUCUUUUAAGGAAUCUGCAUGGGUUCAUCUAAAUUGUCAAAUGUAUUCCUAGAAGUUAUUCGUAAUAGUCUCUUAUUAUUGUUGUAAUAUCUGUAGAAUCUGUAGUGAAGCUACCUAAUUUCUGACAUUGGUAAUCUAUCUUUUCUCCUGAUCAGUCUAAAGAGAAUUUUCUUGAGCUUCUCAAAGAACCAGCUUUUGGUUAAUUAAUUUUCUAUAUUUUCUCUUCCUAAUGUCUAAUUUCUGUUUUACUUGCAUGAUUUCCCCUUUUCUGUGUACACUUUUAAUUUGGUCUUUUUUUCCUAGUUUCUUAAAGUGGAAGCUGAGGUCACUGAUUUGAGACCUUUUUUUCUAACACAGGCAUUGAGCCCUAUAAAUUCCCCUCAGUACUGCUUUACUUGCAUCACGGGAUACAAAGCCGACACAAAAGCCAACUGUAUUUCUAUACACCAGCAAUGAACAAGUAGAAACCAAAAAUCAGAAAAACAAUACCAUUUACAACAGCUCCAAGAAAAUAGUUACAAAUCUAAGAAAAUAUGUACAAGAUCUGUAUGCUAAAACUAUAAAAUGCUGAAGAAAGAAACUAAACAUGCAAAUAAAUGGAGAGACACGUCAUGUUCACGGAUUAAAAGGCGAUCAUAAAUAUGUUAAUUCUCCCCAAACUUAUCUAUAGAUUUAAUGCAAUUCUAAUCAAAAUCCCAGCAGGACUUUUGUAGCUAAGCUAAUCCUAAAAUUUAAAUGGAAAGGUAACACUGAUACAAUAGUCAAAAUAAUUUUAAAAGAAAAAUAAAAUUGGAAGAAUUAUAUUACCAGAUUUUAAUACUUAUUACAAAGCUAUAGUCAUCUUGACUUAUGUGGUAUUGGCAAAAGGAGAGAUGUACAGAUCAAUGGGAGAAAAUAAAAAGUCUAGAAAUAGACCCAUACCAAUAUGGCUAAUUCCUGACAAAGAUAUAAAAGAAAUUCAGCAGAGAAAGGAUAGUCUUUCCAACAAAUGGUGCUGGAACAACUAGACAUCCAUCCAUAUGCUCCUAAACACAAACAAAAAACAUAAACCUCAUACUUAAAAAAAACUUAAAAUAGAUCAUAAAUCUAAACGUUAACAUGUAAAAUAAUAAAACAUUUAGAAGAAAACAAAGGAGAAUUAGGACCUAGGACUAGACAAUAGUUUCUUAGACAUGACAAAAAAAUCACACUCUAUUUUAAAAAUUUAAUUAAUUGGACUUCAUCAAAUUAAAAUUUUUGUUCUCUGAAAAACACUGGUAAGUAAACAAAAAGACAAGCUGGGCUAGGCAUGGCGGCUCAUGCCUACAAUCUCAGCAUUUUGGGAGGCCAAGGCAGAAGGAUCACUUCAGGCCAGGAGUUCGAGACCAGCCUGGCCAACGUAGCAAGAUCCCAUCUCUAAAAAAAAAAAAAAAAAAAAAAAAAAAUUUUUUUUUUAAAGACAAGCUACAGACUGGGAGAAAAUGCUGCAAAACACAUAUCUGACAACAUAUUUGUAUCCAUAAUAUGUAGAUUCUUAAACCCAAUGGUAAUAUAACAAUCCAAUUUUAAGAUGAACAAAAGAUUUGAAGACUCUUCACCAAAGACAUACAGAUGACAGAAAUGCACAUGGACAGGAGGCGAGGCUGCCAAGAAGGCCGCAGGCCAGCCUCAGUGCUU